AAGGAGGUGCUAAGGCAUAAAGAGACUCCUUGAGCCAAGAAAUAGACCAAGAAGAUGCUUGCCAUGGGUAGGGGGAUGCCACGUAUCUAGGGUCAGAUGUACAUUUGACGUGAUUUCUGCAGUUCACCGUUUGGCAAAUGCUGACAUUAGUGAGGCACACAGGGCCCAACAGAAAACGGAGCCGUGACCUGGGAGGCGGGGAGCUGGGUGUGUGGUGUGGUUCUCUCUCUGCCUCCCAGCCCCUGCUGGUUCAGUGCUGAGCACCUAUGAUGAUGCCAGGUGCUACACAAGUGGCUUUCAUCUGCUUCACUCAUUCUGUCCUUGUGCUGUGUGCUUCCUGCUCCCUGGUAACCCCAAGACUGACUCAGGAUAGAAGCGACAGGGAGGGGACUCCUGGAGAAAGCCCCCAAGGUGCUGUGGGCAGAAGCAGGGUCCUUCUUACUCUCUGAGUGUCCGUGUUGACAGUGCUGAGCAAAGUGCAGUGGGUGGUAUGAGGCCAGGCUGCCCUUUGUACACCCACCAAUAGCGUCAGCAGGGAAGUCAACAUGCUACCGUGAGAGCUGUUGAGACCAGAAUGCAAAGAUGCACGAGGAAUAGAAUGAGUGCAGAACUGAGAGACAUCACGAGCAGGCAGGAGAGCAGCCCUCUGCCCAGCCCACUCUAGGGGUCCAGCCCUCUGAUGGAGCCGCCGGCUGUGACUCUGGCUCUCUCGUGGUGGGCCCUCUCCUGAAGCCGCAUCCCACAGACAGCUUGGCCACUCCCUUGCUCCUUUCCCAGGGGUGGUGAGCAGCCCAGAGUCCUGCCCAGCACUGCAAAGGAGGAAGAAACCUCAGCCAAUGGAAGCCGAGGGGAGCUGCCAGGAGCUGUCCUGAAGGGAACUGAGCAGAGGCUGCUGGCUGAGCCACUCUGGAGGGGGCUGCUGGAGUCUCCCAGAAGCUAAGGCUGCUCACAGGAGCCAGGGACUCUCAUAUUUGCCCUGUCGGUGCCAUUGAGCAGAAGAGGAAGACAGGGAUGUAUCAGAGGGCUCCAGAACCUGCCGUGGGAGCCCAGGCUGGCCAUGUGAGGAAAGCUUCUGGUGGGCAUGAGUCUCAUUUUGAAGCUGGUCUCUGGAAUCCAAGCUUCUGGAGGGUCCCAGGUGCAGGGUCCCCUGAAAAGCCCCAGGGUCCUGGUAGGAGCCUGGCUGCACCCACCAUUCUGUUGUAUAAUUGGGAGCAAUGGAGGCAAAGAGGAUGCCAUGACUCACCAGGAAUCCACAGGGGCAGAGCCGAUCAAGGAAAUCCCAUGGAUCCGGAGACACGGAGAAACCUGUGUCUCUAUGUGGGCAUCUGGGAAAUGUCAUCUUAAGCUGCCCAGCCUCUCCAACCAGAAGGAGGGUGGACUGGAGCAAUCCAGUUCACAGGACUGUCCAGGGAACU
rnacentral:lncRNA from 1 species